rnacentral:pre_miRNA from 1 species
UAGGCAGAUUAUUGUAUUCGACUGGGCGUGAAACAGGGGAUUACACUGUUUUUAAGCGGAAAGUGAAUCAAUUAACAUAAUAGACUCCU